rnacentral:lncRNA from 1 species
UCGGUCAACACUUUGAUACCACUAUAAAAAUACCAAAAAAAAAAAGGCAUUGAAAUCUUGUAUAUAGUUGACCCAAGGACACAAUUAUAAGUGCAUUUUUGAAGCAAAGCUGUGCAACAAUUAUUUUAAGGCCCAAUUUUGACAGUUAAAAUCAUUUGAUUAAAACGGCAAUAUUAUGCAUUUCAAUAUAAAAAUUACCGUAGUGUCUUAAAU